GAUGAACGCUGGCGGCGUGCCUAAUACAUGCAAGUCGAGCGAACAGACGAGGAGCUUGCUCCUCUGACGUUAGCGGCGGACGGGUGAGUAACACGUGGAUAACCUACCUAUAAGACUGGGAUAACUUCGGGAAACCGGAGCUAAUACCGGAUAAUAUAUUGAACCGCAUGGUUCAAUAGUGAAAGACGGUUUUGCUGUCACUUAUAGAUGGAUCCGCGCCGCAUUACCUAGUUGGUAAGGGAACGGCUUACCAAGGCAACGAUGCGUAGCCGACCUGAGAGGGCGAGCGGCCACACUGGAACUGCGACACGGUCCAGACUACUACGGGAGGCAGCAGUAGGGAAUCUUCCGCGAUGGGCGAAAGCUUGACGGAGCAACGCCGCGUGAGUGCUGAAGGUCUUCGGAUCGUAAAACUCUGUUAUUAGGGAAGAACAAAUGUGUAAGUAACUAUGCACGUCUUGACGGUACCUAAUCAGAAAGCCACGGCUAACUACGUG
rnacentral:rRNA from 1 species